UACGUAGGGUGCGAGCGUUAAUCGGAAUUACUGGGCGUAAAGCGUGCGCAGGCGGUUUUGUAAGCCAGAUGUGAAAUCCCCGGGCUUAACCUGGGAAUUGCGAUGGAGACUGCAAGGCUAGAAUCUGGCAGAGGGGGGUAGAAUUCCACGUGUAGCAGUGAAAUGCGUAGAGAUGUGGAGGAACACCGGAUGGCGAAGGCAGCCCCCUGGGUCAAGAUGACGCUCAUGCACGAAAGCUGGGGAGCAACAGG
rnacentral:rRNA from 1 species